rnacentral:rRNA from 1 species
GAGUGGCGGACGGGUGAGUAACACAUGGGAACCUACCCACCAGUGAGGGAUACCGGCGCGAAAGCGCCGACAAGCCCGCAUACGCUUCCCCUUUGCGAGGGGAAGGAAAGCUCUUUCGGGGGCGCUGGGAGAUGGGCCUGUGGCCGAUUAGCUAGUUGGUGUGGUAAAAGCGCACCAAGGCGACGAUCGGUAGCUGGUCUGAGAGGACGAGCAGCCACACUGGGAUUGAGAACGGCCCAGACUCCUACGGGGGGCAGCAGUGAGGAAUUUUCCGCAAUGGAGGGAACUCUGACGGAGCAACGCCGCGUGCAGGACGACGCGUUUCGGCGUGUAAACUGCUUUUCUGUGGGAAGAGCAAGGACGGUACCACAGGAAGAGGCCCCGGCUAACUACGUGCCAGCAGCCGCGGUAAGACGUAGGGGGCGAGCGUUGUCCGGAGUUACUGGGCGUAAAGGGCCCGCAGGCGGGAGGGUGCGUUUGGUGUGACAGCUCGUGGCUUCACUACGAGAGGAUACCAAAGACGGCCGUUCUUGAGGGCCAGAGAGGGACCUGGAAGUCCGGGUGGAGCGGUGAAAUGCGUAGAGAUCCGGAGGAACACCGAAAGCGAAGGCAGGGUCCUGGCUGGUACC